rnacentral:tRNA from 1 species
GCCGGUUUAGCGUAGUGGUUAUCGCAUCCCACUUGUAAUGGGAAGGUCACUAGUUCAAAUCUGGUAAUCGGCA